rnacentral:rRNA from 1 species
GACGAACGCUGGCGGUGUGCUUAACACAUGCCAGUCGAACGGUAAGGCCCUUUCGGGGGUACACGAGUGGCGAACGGGUGAGUAACACGUGAGUAACCUGCCCUCAUCUCUGGGAUAACAGUCGGAAACGGUUGCUAAUACUGGAUAUGAGCUUGCAAGGCAUCUUGUGGGUUGGAAAGAUUUUUUUGGUUGGGGAUGGACUCGCGGCCUAUCAGCUUGUUGGUGAGGUAGUGGCUCACCAAGGCUUCGACGGGUAGCCGGCCUGAGAGGGCGACCGGCCACAUUGGGACUGAGAUACGGCCCAAACUCCUACGGGAGGCAGCAGUGGGGAAUAUUGCACAAUGGACGGAAGUCUGAUGCAGCAACGCCGCGUGCGGGAUGACGGCCUUCGGGUUGUAAACCGCUUUCAAUUGUGACGAAGCUUUUUGUGACGGUAGCAGUAGAAGAAGCACCGGCUAACUACGUG